CCUCCUUUUCUUGGCAGGGAUUCCCGAUCCAUGUAAUGUACAGAAGUAGAAGGAAUGGGCUCUGGCCUCCUUGGGAUCAUGUCCUCAGUACCAGCAGUUUCCAGUCUGCUGGUUCUAUCCUCAAGUGCCGGGAUACAG
rnacentral:snoRNA from 1 species